rnacentral:lncRNA from 1 species
GCCCCUCGCCCCCCACCCUAGCCCCCGGAGCGCCAUUCGCGGAGCGGCUUACGCUAGUCGCCAGGCGUACGGCGCCCCAGCGGCCGGGGAGGUGCGCUGCCCGGCUCCCGUAAAGUUAUUGUGAAUGGGGAGCGGGUGACGUCAGCGCCGAAUGUCAACAAUGUAGCGAUUGAGAGUGUGGGCGUUCCGGGGAGAGCGCGAGCCGCGCGGCGCGGAGCAAACAGCGCCGAGCCGCCGCCGCCUCAGCAGCAGCAGCAGCAGCGACCGUGCACACCCGGGCUGCGGUCGCAGCAGCGCUAACGUGAGCGCCCGCCGCCGCCCUCUCCACCCCGCCUGCCUAUUCCCGCGGCCGCCGGGCUCUUGCUUUCUCUCCGGCCUCCCCUCGACCCUUCCCCUCCCCCUACGCGGCACACUCGGGGGGCUGGGAACGAGCUGCCAUGUGAUGUGCGUCCUCUCCAAGAGCUUUCGGUGACCCCCGAACCGCCCACCGCGCCAGCUCCCGGGAGGAGGCUGCAGGCUAGAAAGACACUGGGAAGAGGAGGCGGAAAAGGACGCAAAGUUCUCUGGCGAGCACAGCUGUCUGCUUUGGGAAGUGAAGUCUACAGCAACGAGGAGAAUCUUUCCAAGCUGCCUCGCACUGUGACAUGUCUGAGCCCUUGCUCCAGUCCCUGCAACAUGAACAAGACUCUGCCAUUGAGUAUGAGAGACACUACAGAAAACUUCUGGUGAUUUGGAUACAGUGGGAGGGAGAGGAAUCAAGAUCAUUUAAUCACCCUGUGCCUCAGUUUCAUCAUCUGUGAUAUGGGAACAGUAGCAAGCUACAUAUCACUCAUGGAAUCAUUGUGAGUAGUAAAUGAGCUCGUACAUUAAAAAAAUUUAAAACAGUGCCUGGCACAUAAGAACUCAGCAAGU